CAGCAGCCGCGGUAAUACGGGGGAUGCGAGCGUUAUCCGGAUUUAUUGGGUUUAAAGGGCGCGUAGGCGGGACGGCAAGUCAGCGGUAAAAGACUGCAGCUAAACUGUAGCACGCCGUUGAAACUGUUGACCUCGAGACGAGACGAGGGAGGCGGAACAAGUGAAGUAGCGGUGAAAUGCAUAGAUAUCACUUGGAACCCCGAUAGCGAAGGCAGCUUCCCAGGCUCGUUCUGACGCUGAUGCGCGAGAGCGUGGGUAGCGAACAGGAUUAGAUACCCUGGUAGUCCACGCCGUAAACGAUGCUCACUGGAUCUUGGCGAUACACGGCCAGGGUUCAAGCGAAAGUAUUAAGUGAGCCACCUGGGGAGU
rnacentral:rRNA from 1 species